CAAAGAUCGCAAUGUAUGAGAUCGAAAAAAAUUUCUGAUUUAUGUUGGCUGAUAGAAAAUGGCAAUUUUUGUAGUUUAGCCAAAGGACAAACAAGACAAGGCUGUUUGGUGGAUCUUGUAACCAAAUUCGGUAUUGGUGGAGUGUCCUAAACUAUAGUGCCAAAGAUUGAAAUCCCCACCAUUAUUAAAGAUAGACAAAGCAGAC
rnacentral:lncRNA from 1 species